GGUUGAAGUUUCGACUUUCAAGAAUUUUCCUUGGUUUGGGUUGCCAAGG
rnacentral:ncRNA from 1 species